rnacentral:lncRNA from 1 species
GGGUUCUCUUGUCUCAAUGAGCUUGGAUAUCCCUAGGGCUGGCGUCUAAUCUAUUUUAUUUAAAGGUUAUAGAUUUUGCCCUUAAAAUAUUUUAUGGAUACGCAAUGUAACAAAGUAAUAAAAAUAGAUAAAUUUUAAUCAAUAAAAAAUCAAUAAUAAAUAAAAUCCAGUAAGUAUGCAAAAGAAAAAGGUUAGAACACGUA